UACGUAGGGCGCAAGCGUUGUCCGGAAUUAUUGGGCGUAAAGAGCUCGUAGGCGGUUUGUCGCGUCUGCCGUGAAAGUCCGGGGCUCAACUCCGGAUCUGCGGUGGGUACGGGCAGACUAGAGUGAUGUAGGGGAGACUGGAAUUCCUGGUGUAGCGGUGAAAUGCGCAGAUAUCAGGAGGAACACCGAUGGCGAAGGCAGGUCUCUGGGCCACUACUGACGCUGAGAAGCGAAAGCAUGGGGGAGCGAACAGG
rnacentral:rRNA from 1 species